UUGUUUGAUUUGAAAGGCUGUUACCACUGUAAAUACAAAUGAAGGUUUCUACCCAGUGGAUGACUAUGUGGAAGAAGAACUUUAUACAAGAAAACUGCAGGCUACAAAGCAAAGUCUUCAGACGUUACAGGACAACCUCAUCAGAUCAAACAGAGGAAACAAUAAUUUAUGUCAUAUGUUGAAAGAGGACAUCAAUUCAGAAGAGUUGCAAGAAAAUCAUCUUGGCCAUAAUGAAAGAGAAGACUUUGAUCUGUAUGACCUCCUUCCUCCAAAAGUAAUUCAAUAUUGCACACACAGAUUUGAAUCAUUAGUACAACUUGUAAGCUAAAACAUCUUAUAAAUUCUCUGUAUUCUGGUUGAGUGGGGUUAAAACACACGCUCCUUUUCUCUCCCUCAGCUCCAUUGAAAAUCUUUUGACUAUACACAUUUCAACUGUCAAUUUUAACAGCACAUGGAAAAACUGUUUCUAGUUUACAAACCUAUUUUAUGUUGAAAGUGCAAGGCAAGCUGUGGAUUGAUUUGUUUAUGGUUAGUAUAAAUGAAUUGCAAAAACAUAUCAGUUUAAUCUGCUAAUUCUAAAAUACUACUCACAACACUUUAUGAACAAGAUAGUAUUCAGAUCAACAGUGAGAAUUUCAUAGAGAAAUACAAAUUCUGUUUUUGAUUUUUACUGGAAAGUUUGC
rnacentral:lncRNA from 1 species